CAAGCAUCGCCCAGAGUCCUUCUUCGUGUCCUUGAUUCUGAUCCUCUACAAGCUGGAUUUCACAGGAGAUGCCCUAACUUUAAGGACCCACCACUUCCGGAGUACCAUGAGCUGAUGACCAAGCCUUUAACACACAGGCCUUUGGAGAACACUUAUCCAAACCGAAACAUUUCCUGAAUUCAAAUCUUGGCAAAAAAGAUCCAAACCACUUUCCC
rnacentral:lncRNA from 1 species